rnacentral:rRNA from 1 species
GUGUCAGCAGCCGCGGUAAUACGUAGGGGGCAAGCGUUGUCCGGAUUUAUUGGGCGUAAAGAGCGUGUAGGCGGCCAGGUAGGUCAGCUGUGAAAACUCGAGGCUCAACCUCGAGACGCCGGUUGAAACCAUCUGGCUAGAGUCCGGAAGAGGAGAGUGGAAUUCCUGGUGUAGCGGUGAAAUGCGCAGAUAUCAGGAAGAACACCCGUGGCUAAGGCGGCUCUCUAGUACGGUACUGACGCUGAGACGCGAAAGCGUGGGGAGCGAACAGGAUUAGAUACCCCCGUAGUCC